UUCCAAGUCAAAGAUUGUGCUUUAUGAAGAAUGGCUGGUGUACCUGAAGCAAGCUAUGGUUUGCUUAAGUGACCACAAAGACUUGUGUGCUUUCAGAGUUGGUCUCCAUCCUGUUGGGCAAUGAUAGAACCUUUAGGAGAUGGGGCCAAGUUGGAGUCUCCUGGGAUGCCCUAGGACAGAUUAUUGAGAACAGUUUUGAAUGAACAGUUGCUAUUGCUUCUCCCAAAAACCCCAAGGGAAGUUUUGUUCAAAAAGUCCCUGAUUUUCUUAAAAGUUUGUUUUGAGUAAUAGUGUUUAAGGGUUUUGUCAGGGAAAACUAGCAGAAAAUGAAGUGCAGGGGACACCCUUUCCAGGUCUUUCUAUUCUGUGCAUAUGUAUGUUUCCCCUGCAUGUAUAUUUGUGAAGCAUAUGUGUGCCUGUUGCCCACAGAGGCAGAAGGCCUUGGAUCCUCUGGAACUGGACUCACAGAAGAUUUUGAAACCUGGGACCAGAAACUGGGCGUAGGAUCCCUUUACAACUGCCACAACUUCUUCACAGAGAGGAUGUCCCUCCAGGAAACCCCAGCUGCUGGAGGCAGCUUCCAGUGACAACAAUGACACAACACUAAAGAGGAAGGGAGAAGAACGUCGAGCAAAGGAAGUGGAAGUCGACCCUUGUUGGGCUCUGUGACCAAGUCUGCUUUGCAUUGUCCAGACUCUGCCCUCCUCCUGCCUCCUUCAGCUGCUAGCCCAGCAACAAAUCAGAAGCGAGGCGUGGAGUUAAUGCCAAGACAAUUUAGUGAGAUAUCUGGAAUGAAUGAAUUAACAUUCACUGCUGCCAUUGUGUGCGGGAUGUGGUUCUUCGCCAGGGUUAGCUGAUCUGGUCUCUGUGGCCACCUCGAUUAGUUUAGUGCUCAAUUAAAGGCACACAGGUUAAAGGACUUGGCUUAUUACUCAGCUGGUGAGUGGUAUGACCAGGCUCUAACCUCAGGUGUUCCUGGUGGGAAAGAGCAGGUUGUGGGAGGGAGAAGGAAGGGGAAGGACGCAUAUGCUUGAAAAUGCCAUCAU